rnacentral:lncRNA from 1 species
GUAGAUAGUUAGGCAUUUAAAAUGUGCCUAUUAAACUAAUAGCUACUUGUUCAAGCAAUAUGUUCUUUAUAAAUACAUAUUGAUAUGAUAUUGUUUGUGUUCAAGUGUACUUUUCUUGUUAGGGACAUUAAGAUUAUUUAAGAUUUCUUGUAUUAAGUGUUUAGACAGAGAUUCCUCAUUAUAUAUGGAUAACAAAAUUAAUUGCUGCUUUGUAAAUAACUAUGGAGCUUGUUAUAAACAAUCAUAUACUCAAGAAAGAAAUCUGAUUGAAGAUAUUGACAGCAAUGAUCGUAAGCUACUUGAAAAACGAACAAAUCUGAAACAAGAACAAAUUACUAAUAUAUGCACACACCAUCAUGACAUGUUUGUUGUAAGAUAUGAGGGUAAUCAGAAAAGUUGCUGUAAUCCAUUUCUGAGUCACCAAAAGGUGUGUAGAGCAUCUCUACAUGUGAUUACAAUGCAUACUGUGUUAGAAGCAGAAACCAUAGGUUUAAAUGUUAUACCUGGAAAAAAACUGUGUCUAACCUGUCGAAGUAAAGUUAUGACAUGUUUAUCAAAAAGUAUAAGUGAAAAUAAAAAUGAUGAAGAUUUUGAUAUUGUUAAUGAAAGAUCCAUUUAAAAUAAAAAAGAAAGUGUAGAUACACACUUUGCAUCUGCUGGAGUAUCUCCAAUUAAGGUCAAAGGAUUGCACAAGUCAGAGAAGGUAAACAAAAAUUGACAGCAUUAACAUCCUCCAUUAAAAAAAGGUAGCCAUUUCCCUUAAUAUAUCAGAAAAAAAUUUUGAAGAACAGUCAAGUUUUAAUGAGUAUAUGGAAAAAGCAAACUUGAUUUAUAACAUGAUGAUAUUGUUAACUAACAAAAUUGCAGAAUCUACAUCAACAUCAAAAAAAGUACAUCUUGCGACACUUGCUCCAACAGACUGGUCAAUAAAAAAGGCAUCUGAAACAUUGCGUGUAACAUCUUCCUGAUGUAACAGUUCAACUGGUCAAGACCUUUUACGAAGACGAUGAACAUAGCCGUAUAAUGCCUGGUAAAAAGGACUAUGUAAGCAUAAAGAAAAAUGUCCACAUGCAAAAACGUUUGCUCUUAUGUAAUUUAAAGGAAUUGUUUGUUGCCUUUAAAACCAAUAACCCAGAAAUAAAAAUAGGAUUUUCAAGGUUUCGCACCUUGCGACCUAAAUGGUGUAUUACUGUUGGUGCCUCAGGAACACAUUCUGUAUGCGCCUGUGCUAUUCAUCAGAAUUUAAAACUGCUUUUACAUCCUCUUGGUGUGACAUACAAAGAAUUGUUACCUUAUAUUGUCUGUGAUAUAACUAAUAAAGACUGUAUGAUGAGGAAAUGUGAAAAAUGCCUAGCAACUAUGGAUGCAUUGGUUCAAAAACUUUAUGAUAUACUUGGAGAAUUUGAAGAAUAUGAUGAGAUUGAAUUUGAUUAAUGGACAACAACAGAUAGGUCAAACUUGACACAAUAAAGAGCCAGUGUUUGAAUACAUUGAACUAGUAUGUAGAAAACUGGAAAAACUUGCACCACAUUCGUAUUUAGCAAAGAGUCAAGCAUUAUACCUGAGAACAGGAAAAGAAGAUAUGAAUGAGGUAACAGCAUUAUUUCUGGGUGAUUUUUCAGAAAACUAUAAAUUUGUAGUUCAGGAUGAAGUGCAAAACUUUCAUUGGACAAAUUUACAAUGUACACUUCAUCCAGUGAUUAUUUAUUUCAAAAAAGAAGGCAUUCUCAAGCACAAAUCCUAUUUUAUUAUUUGGGAUGAUAUGAUCCAUGAUGUGAACAUGGUUUAUAAAAUUAUUGAGGUUGUUUGCAAUGAUAUAAAAACAAAUUUGCCUCAAAUAAAAAAUAUUGAAUACUUUUCAGAUGGGUGUGCAGGUCAAUAUAAGAAUUGCAAAAAUAUGUUAAAUCUUUGUUUCCAUUGUGAAGAUUUUGGUUUUACUGCUAAAUGGAACUUUUUUGCAACUAAUGACAAAAUAAACAAAGUCACGGUAAGCAACCUUGUGAUGGUAUAGUCAAACGUCUGGCAACACUAGCAAGUUUGCAAAGAGAUAUGGGUAAUCAUAUUUUAUCUCCAAAACAAUGUAUAAAUAUUGAAUGAAAACAUUGAAGGCAUAAAUUUCAUAUAUAUUUCAUCAGAAGAUUUAACUUUGGUGAGAACCACUCUUAAAGAACGAUUGGAUACUGCUAAUACAAUACCUGGAACAUGUAGUUACCAUUAGUUUGUACCACUUGGCCAUCUAAAGGUAGGCACUAAGCUAUGCAGUGUUGAUGAAGAAUUUGCUUUAAUUCAUGACUUUGGAAAUAUCCAGAUAACGACUGUAAACCUAGUACCAGGUGAUUAUGUCUGUGUUUCUUAUGAGCAAAAGUGGUGGAUAGGAGUCAUUGAAGAUAUUAAUUUAGAAGAAAAAGAUGUGCUUGUAAAAUUUAUGUGUCCUAAUGGUCCUGCACGGUCGUUUAAAUGGCCACCAAAGGAAAGCCAAUACUGGAUUAAUGAUGUCCACAUUGUUUGCAAAGUUGAGGUACCUAUAACAAAAACAGGACUUUGCUACUAUUUAGCCAAAGAGGACUUGAAAAAAUUAUUUUCCUAAGGAAGUAGAGAUUUUUAUAUUUAUGAGUCUAUUAUGUCUUAUCCAUUCUUUUUUUAAAUAUUAUGUUUUGUUAAUCAACUUGUAAAUAACGUGAAUGUAAAGCAUAUAUAAAAUCACUAAAGUUUAGUAUUUUAAAAAAAAAAAUUUAUAUACGUUUAAAUUUUGUUGUAAAUAUCAUAUGAAAAUGAAAAAGAUAAUAAAGUCAUUAAAUUUUUAGUUUCUAAUUUGAUUGAUUGGUAAAAGGUGGGGUUAUAUUAAGUGUCUAAUUUAAAAAAUAUUAAAAAAUUUUGUGUCUAUAUCAAACAUCAAUAAUUCCUCAAGUAAAUAUAAGGCCAAGGUUCGAAAAGUAGGUGUUGAUCUUAUUUUUAAGAAAAUCGAAAUUAAAUUUUUUUUAUAUCAGUCAGAUUUUUUUUAUAGCUAUAAUUGUCAAUGCUCU